AACGAACGCUGGCGGCAGGCUUAACACAUGCAAGUCGAGCGCCCCGCAAGGGGAGCGGCAGACGGGUGAGUAACGCGUGGGAACGUACCUUUUGGUUCGGAACAACUCCGGGAAACUGGAGCUAAUACCGGAUAAGCCCUAACGGGGAAAGAUUUAUCGCCGAAAGAUCGGCCCGCGUCUGAUUAGCUAGUUGGUGAGGUAACGGCUCACCAAGGCGACGAUCAGUAGCUGGUCUGAGAGGAUGAUCAGCCACACUGGGACUGAGACACGGCCCAGACUCCAACGGGAGGGGGGAGGGGGAAAUAUGGGAAAAGGGGGGAAAGCUUGACACAGCAGUGCGGGGGGAGGAAAAAAGGCUUAGGGGUUGAAAAGUUUUUUGGUCGGGGAAGAAAAUGACUGACCGGGAAAAAUAAGCCCCGGCAAAUUUGGUG
rnacentral:rRNA from 1 species